CCUCAAGAUCCUGCAGCAGUGUUUCCCUGGGUUCCUGUGGUGGGGGUGGUGGCUGUCCUGACUGCUGUAGCUCUUCUAGUCACCAUCUACUGCUAUAUGAAGAGGAGAUCUACAGGAGGAAGUGAUGCCACAGCAGACACACAGAGUGUCCAUCCUGACCCCAACAGUGACAUGUACACGGCUCUGAACAUGAAGACCAGGUCACCAGAGUAUGACACCCUGGCAAAUGUGAGGGACUUCGCAGUGACACACACAGCCCCUCAAAUAGAUGAUGAGCCCUCCAUUUAUGAGAAAUGAAGAGAACCACCACAGAACCUGGACUGAAGAGAACCACAACAUAACCUGGACUGAAGAGAACGACCACAGAACCUGGACUGAAGAGAACCACCACAGAACCUGUACUGAAGAGAACCACAACAGAACGUAGACUGAAGAGAACCACCAUAGAACCUGGACUGAACAGAACCACCACAUUACCUGGACUGAAGUGAACCACCACAGAACUUGGAUUGAAGAGAACCACCAUAGAACCUGGACUGAAGAAAACCACCACAUAACUUGGACUGAAGAGAACCACCACAGAAACUGGACUGAAGAGAACCACAACAGAACCUGGACUGAAGAGCAACAGCAUCAAACCAAAGCUAGGCCUCACAAUGCUAUUCUCUUACUAUCAUAAUGCUUUAUAGUCUAGAAGGUUUGAGACAAUGAGCUUUAACUUCUGAGUGAAUGCUGGAAUUUAGAUUGUUCUCCUAAUGAUAAAUACAGUAUGUGCAUUACCGUUCAAAAGUUUGAGGUCACUUAAAAUGUCCUUGGUUUUGAAAGUAAAGCAAAGAAUAUUGUCUAUUAAAAUAGCAUCAAAUUGAUCAGAAAUACAGUGUAAACAUUAACGUUAAU